AUCCAACUGACGAGUUCGAAAUAGGACGAAACGCGCGUUCUGGAU
rnacentral:hammerhead_ribozyme from 1 species